rnacentral:rRNA from 1 species
GAUGAACGCUGGCGGCGUGCCUAAUACAUGCAAGUCGAGCGAACAGACGAGGAGCUUGCUCCUCUGACGUUAGCGGCGGACGGGUGAGUAACACGUGGAUAACCUACCUAUAAGACUGGGAUAACUUCGGGAAACCGGAGCUAAUACCGGAUAAUAUAUUGAACCGCAUGGUUCAAUAGUGAAAGACGGAUUUGCUGUCCCUUAUAGAUGGAUCCGCGCCGCAUUAGCUAGUUGGUAAGGUAACGGCUUACCAAGGCAACGAUGCGUAGCCGACCUGAGAGGGGGAUCGGCCACACUGGAACUGAGACACGGUCCAGACUCCUACGGGAGGCAGCAGUAGGGAAUCUUCCGCAAUGGGCGAAAGCUUGACGGAGCAACGCCGCGUGAGUGAUGAAGGUCUUCGGAUCGUAAAACUCUGUUAUUAGGGAAGAACAAAUGUGUAAGUAACUAUGCACGUCUUGACGGUACCUAAUCAGAAAGCCACGGCUAACUACGUG